UGAGGAAUAUUGGUCAAUGGUCUGACGACUGAACCAGCCAUGCCGCGUGAAGGUCACGGCCCUAUGGGUCUUAAACUUCUUUUGCAAGGGAGCAAUAAGGUCUACGUGUAGACUGAUGAGAGUACCUUGCGAAUAAGCAUCGGCUAACUCCGUGCCAGCAGCCGCGGUAAUACGGGGGAUGCAAGCGUUAUCCGGAUUUAUUGGGUUUAAAGGGUGCGUAGGCGGCGUUGUAAGUCAGCGGUGAAAUUUCGGGGCUCAACCUCGAACGUGCCGUUGAUACUGCAGCGCUAGAAUGCGGAUGCCGUGGGAGGAAUGUGUGGUGUAGCGGUGAAAUGCAUAGAUAUCACACAGAACACCGAUUGCGAAGGCAUCUCACGAAUCCGCAAUUGACGCUGAGGCACGAAAGCGUGGGGAUCAAACAGG
rnacentral:rRNA from 2 species